rnacentral:rRNA from 1 species
UACGUAGGGUGCGAGCGUUAAUCGGAAUUACUGGGCGUAAAGCGUGCGCAGGCGGUUCGUUAAGUUCGUUGUGAAAGCCCCGGGCUCAACCUGGGAACUGCAAUGGAAACUGGCGGGCUUGAAUGCGGCAGAGGGGGGUGGAAUUCCGCGUGUAGCAGUGAAAUGCGUAGAGAUGCGGAGGGACACCGAUGGCGAAGGCGGCUUUCUGGUCUGUAACUGACGCUGAGGCGCGAAAGCGUGGGGAGCAAACAGG